AUUGAACGCUGGCGGCAGGCUUAACACAUGCAAGUCGAGCGGGGUGAUGGUGCUUGCACUAUCACUUAGCGGCGGACGGGUGAGUAAUGCUUAGGAAUCUGCCUAUUAGUGGGGGACAACAUCUCGAAAGGGAUGCUAAUACCGCAUACGUCCUACGGGAGAAAGCAGGGGAUCACUUGUGACCUUGCGCUAAUAGAUGAGCCUAAGUCGGAUUAGCUAGUUGGUGGGGUAAAGGCCUACCAAGGCGACGAUCUGUAGCGGGUCUGAGAGGAUGAUCCGCCAAACUGGGACUGAGAAACGGCCCAGACUCCUACGGGAGGUAGCAGUGGGGAAUAUUGGACAAUGGGGGGAACCCUGAUCCAGCCAUGCCGCGUGUGUGAAGAAGGCCUUGUGGUUGUAAAGCACUUUAAGCGAGGAGGAGGCUCUUUUGGUUAAUACCCAAGAUGAGUGGACGUUACUCGCAGAAUAAGCACCGGCUAACUCUGUGCCAGCAGCCGCAGUAA
rnacentral:rRNA from 1 species